UUCGCCCUUAGAGGUCGAUUCUGGCUCAGGAUGAACGCUGGCGGCGUGCCUAACACAUGCAAGUCGAGCGAUUCUCUUCGGAGAAGAGCGGCGGACGGGUGAGUAACGCGUGGGUAACCUGCCUCAUACACAUGGAUAACAUACCGAAAGGUAUGCUAAUACAAGAUGAUAUAAGAGAUUCGCAUGGAUUUCUUAUCAAAGCUCCGGCGGUAUGAGAUGGACCCGCGUCUGAUUAGCUAGUUGGUAAGGUAACGGCUUACCAAGGCGACGAUCAGUAGCCGACCUGAGAGGGUGAUCGGCCACAUUGGGACUGAGACACGGCCCAGACUCCUACGGGAGGCAGCAGUGGGGAAUAUUGCACAAUGGGGGAAACCCUGAUGCAGCAACGCCGCGUGAGUGAUGACGGCCUUCGGGUUGUAAAGCUCUGUCUUCAGGGACGAUAAUGACGGUACCUGAGGAGGAAGCCACGGCUAACUACGUGCCAGCAGCCGCGGUAAUACGUAGGUGGCGAGCGUUGUCCGGAUUUACUGGGCGUAAAGGGAGCGUAGGCGGAUUUUUAAGUGAGAUGUGAAAUACUCGGGCUUAACCUGAGUGACUGCAUUUCAAACUGGAAGUCUAGAGUGCAGGAGAGGAGAAGGGAAUUCCUAGUGUAGCGGUGAAAUGCGUAGAGAUUAGGAAGAACACCAGUGGCGAAGGCGCUUCUCUGGACUGUAACUGACGCUGAGGCUCGAAAGCGUGGGGAGCAAACAAGAUUAGAUUCCCUGGUAGUCCACGCCGUCAACGAUGAAUACUAGGUGUAGGGGUUGUCAUGACCUCUGUGCCGCCGCUAACGCAUUAAGUAUUCCGCCUGGGGAGUACGGUCGCAAGAUUAAAACUCAAAAGAAUUGACGGGGGCCCGCACAAGCAGCGGAGCAUGUGGUUUAAUUUGAAGCAACGCGAAGAACCUUACCUAGACUUGACAUCUCCUGCAUUACUCUUAAUCGAGGAAGUCCUUUCGGGGACAGGAUGACAGGUGGUGCAUGGUUGUCGUCAGCUCGUGUCGUGAGAUGUUGGGUUAAGUCCCGCAACGAGCGCAACCCCCAUUGUUAGUUGCCAUCAUUAAGUUGGGCACUCUAGCGAGACUGCCCGGGUUAACCGGGAGGAAGGUGGGGAGGACGUCAAAUCAUCAUGCCCCCUAUGUCUAGGGCUACACACGUGCUACAAUGGUCGGUACAAUAAGACGCAAGCCCGCGAGGGGGAGCAAAACUGGAAAACCGAUCUCAGUUCGGAUUGUAGGCUGAAACUCGCCUACAUGAAGCUGGAGUUGCUAGUAAUCGCGAAUCAGCAUGUCGCG
rnacentral:rRNA from 1 species